GUUCUGUUAGCUUAUUGGUUAGAGCGCUAAUCUAGCGAAUACAUAGUCGUGGGUUCGAACCCCAUCAGAACA
rnacentral:tRNA from 1 species